rnacentral:lncRNA from 1 species
GCGAGUACCGCCUCAUACUCAGCUUCGUUGUUCGUCGCUUUAAACUGAAAUCUGAUGGCCUGUUGCACCUUGAAUCCCUCCGGACUCGUCAGAAUAAUCCCCGCUCCACUGAUGUCUGUAGUAGAAGACCCAUCUGCAUACAGCGUCCAUGAACUCCCCUUCUGUUGAAGAACCGCAACAGCUCUGUCAGAUCCUUCAACCUCGGUCACAACUUCAUCA